rnacentral:tRNA from 1 species
GUAGCUCAAUGGUAGAGCGCUGCCCCUCAUCGGGGCAGAGGUUGCGGGUUCGAGUCCCGUC